rnacentral:snRNA from 1 species
GUGUUUGUAUGGUAGCACACAUAUAAAAAUUGGAAUGACUCAGAGAAGAUUAGCUGGUUCCUUUCAAAGUAUGACACACAUUUUUAAGCACCCUAUGUGUACUUU